CGCAGGCGGCGAGGCGUGGCGCCUCGAUGCGGCCCAUAACCGCACGAAGGCCGGUUCGAUUCCGGCGCCUGCUACCA
rnacentral:tRNA from 1 species